rnacentral:rRNA from 1 species
GAUGAACGCUGACAGAAUGCUUAACACAUGCAAGUCGAUGGGGAAGUGGUGCUUGCACCAUGGUAACCAUGGCGGACGGGUGAGUAACGCGUAAGGAACUUACCUGCGGGACCGGGAUAACAGCAGGAAACUGCUGACAAGACCGGAUAAGGUUAUUAAGCUGCAUAGCUUAGUGAUGAAAGGAGACGCCUGCGGAGAGCCUUGCGUCCUAUUAGCUAGUUGGAGGGGUAACGGCCCACCAAGGCGAAGAUAGGUAGCCGGCCUGAGAGGGUGGACGGCCACAAGGGGACUGAGAUACGGCCCUUACUCCUACGGGAGGCAGCAGUGGGGAAUAUUGGACAAUGGGGGCAACCCUGAUCCAGCAAUUCUGUGUGCACGAAGACGGUUUUCGGAUUGUAAAGUGCUUUCAGCAGGGAAGAAGGAAGUGACGGUACCUGCAGAAGAAGCGACGGCUAAAUACGUG